CGAACUAUAAAGAUAUUUACUUCAAUCAGCACCACCUAGACGAAUAUACAGAAAGAAAACAGAAAACAGAGAUACUCUUAUGAGUUGGAUAAGGAGUAAAAAAGGUAAAAAACACCUCUAAACCAAUUCCGUGUUGAUCUUUCACUAUCUUACGUAAUUGAGAACAAAUUUCAUAAUAUGUUUUU